CCCGUUAACGGCGGGGGUAACUAUGACCCUCUUAAGGUAGCGUAGUACCUUGUCGCUUCAGUAGCGACUCGCAUGAAUGGAUUAACGAGAGCCUCGCUGUCCCAACGUUGGGCCCGGUGAACUGUACGUUCCAGUGCGGAGUCUGGAGACCCCCAAGGGGAAGCGAAGACCCUAUAGAGCUUUACUGCAGGCUGUCGCUGGGACGUGGUCGCUACUGUGCAGUGUAGGUAGGAGCUGUUACACAGGUACCCGCGCUAGCGGGCCACCGAGGCAUCCAUGAAACACUACCCGGUAGUGACUGCGACCCUCACUCCUGGCGGAGGACACCGGUAGCCGGGCAGUUUGACUGGGGCGGUACGCGCUUGAAAAGAUAUCGAGCGCGCCCCAAGUCCAUCUCAGCCGUGUCGGAAACGCGGCGAAGAGUGCAAAAGCAAAAGAUGGACUGACAGUGAUCUUCCCAACGAGGAUCGCUGACGUGAAAGCGUGGUUUAGCGAACCAAUUCGCCCGCUCGAUGCGGGCCAUUGCUGACAGAAAAGCUACCUUAGGGAUAACAGAGUCGUCACUCGCAAGAGUACAUAUCGACCGAGUGGCUUGCUACCUCGAUGUCGGUUCCCUCCAUCCUGCCCGUGCAGAAGCGGGCAAGGGGGAGGUUGUUCGCCUAUUAAAGGAGGUCGUGAGCUGGGUUUAGACCGUCGCGAGACAGGUCGGCUGCUAUCUAUUGGGGGUGUCAUUGGUAUCUGACGGGAACGUCCGUAUAGUACGAGAGGAACUACGGAUGGUGGCCACUGGUGUAUCGGUCGUCCGAGAGGGCGCUGCCGAGCAGCCACGCCACACGGGGUAACGGCUGAACGCAUCUAAGCCGGAAACCCACCUGGAAAAGAGAUACCGCAGAGGUCACUCGUAGAAGACGAGUUCGAUAGACUCGGGGUGUACGCACCGAGGCAACGAGGUGUUCAGCCCGCGAGUACUAAUCGACCGAAGCCACCAAUCA
rfam:Halosimplex carlsbadense 2-9-1 contig_28, whole genome shotgun sequence.